GGACGAGCACUCACGCAAAGGUAACGCGUGGUGGUGGCGGCGGUGGCGGACCCGACAGGGAGCCCACCCCGGCGGAAUCGAUGGGCGGACGGCCGCCGCGUCGCAGAGCGUGAUAUUUUUGCUAUCGCCUCGAGCGCGGAGAGGCUGCCAGCCCUCGCCAUACGCCUGCUGUGUCGCUGAGCGUGAUGCUUUGCCAUCGCCUCGGGCACGGCAUGGCUGAGAACAUGACAUU
rnacentral:misc_RNA from 1 species